UGGAGCCAAAAUUUUACUAAUUAUGAUUAGUGAAUUUUAGAUAUGUUUCAGUUCACUAAUCCAAGAUCAAGUAAAAGAUUUUCCACUAAGUGUGCUUAGGUGUCAUGAAGCAUGUAAAGCAUGAAGGACGUGCACAAAGUGUGACUAUACGAUGUGACAAUGGGGUGUAGCAAGCAAAUGCUCACCUCCCCCUCUAAAAUUUAAUUGGAUUGGGCUUCGCUCAAUUCAAUUAAAUUUAUUUCCCAACACACAC
rnacentral:lncRNA from 1 species